UGUAUCCUUGUCAAAUUUAGUAUGUCCCUUAUGGUGGUCUAUACUGGCCAGAUGUCUGCUAUGGAAAAGUACUUCACGAGGCCCCACAUCUCUCAAAUGAAAUUGUGGUACUGACACUU